GUUAACGCUGGCGGCAGCGCAUAACACAUGCAAGUCGAGCGAGGCUUACUUCGCAAGAGAGGUGAGUCUCUGCUAGCGGCGGACGGGUGAGUAAUGCACGUAGGGCAAUCUUGCCUAGUCGCUGGGGGAUAACGUCUCGAAACCGGCCGCUAAUACCGCAUAGUCGUCACCGGGCGCAAUGCCGGUGAGACCUAGGCAUGCAGCUAUCAGGAUGAGCCCUAGGUCGGAUAGCUAGUCGGUGAGGGUAACGGCCUACCGAGGCGAUGACGGGUAAGCUGGUCUGAGAGGACGAUCAGCCACACUGGGAACUGAGACACGGUCCCGACUCCUACGGGAGGCAGCAGUGAGGAAUCUUCCGACAAUGGGCGAAAGCCUGAUCGGAGCGACUGCCGCGUGUGUGAAUGAAGGUCUUUCGGAUUGUAAAGCACUAAGUUGGAGGAAGGGUAGAUAACUCUGCAAUGACGUACCGCCAGAAUAAGCCCCGGCUAACUCUGUGCCAGCAGCCGCGGUAAUACAGUAGGGUGCUAGCGUUAAUCCAGGAAUUACUGGGCGUAAGAGCGCGUGUAGGCUGGCUUGCUAAGUGUGAUGUGAAAGCUUCGGGCUCAACCUGGAAACUGCAUUCAAAACUGCCAUGCUAGAGUGCAGGUAGAGGGGAGCGGAAUUCCAUGUGUAGCGGUGAAAUGCGUAGAUAUCUGGAAGGAACACCAGUGGCGAAGGCGGACUUACCUGGCCUGAUAACUGACACUGAGGUGCGAAAGCGUGGGGAGCGAAACCGGAUUAGAUACCCUGGUAGUCCACGCCCGUAAACGAUUGUGAACUAGGUGUUGGGCGGAUUGAGCCCUAUAGUGGCCGCAGCUAACGCAUUAAGUUGCACCGCCUGGGGAGCUACGGCCGCAAGGUUAAAACUCAAAUGAAUAUGACGGGGGCCCGCACAAGCAGGCUGGAGCGUGUGGUUUAAUUCGAGGCGACGCGAAGAACCUUACCUGGGUUUGACAUGUAGAGGAAACGUUGGUGAAAGCCAGCGCCCCUCGCAAGAGGUCUCUACACAGGUGGUGCAUGGCUGUCGUCAGCUCGUGCCGUGAGGUGUUGGGUUAAGUCCCGCAGCGAGCGCAACCCCUGUCCUUAGUUGAAUGUUCUAGGGAGACUGCCGGGCGAAACCCGGAGGAAGGUGGGGAUGGCGUCAAGUCCGCAUGCCCUUUAUAUCCAGGGCUACACACACGCUACAAUGGCCGGUACAACGGGUUCCGACACGGCGACGUGAAGGCAAUCCCUGAAAGCCGGUCUCAGUUCGGAUUGCAGGCUGCAACUCGCCUGCAUGAAGUCGGAGUUGCUAGUAACCGCAGGUCAGCACACUGCGGUGAAUACGUUCCCGGGCCUUGCACUCACCGCCCGUCACAUCACUUGAAUCUGUUGCUCCCGAAGUCGCUGGCCGAACCCGUGAGGGACGGAGGCGCCGAAGGAGUGGCCGGUGAGAGGGGUG
rnacentral:rRNA from 1 species